UAAAACCCUAAACCUAUAAAAAGGAGCUAGACUCCUAGACCUAAUGGGGACCGAUCAGCGAAAAUACAACAAAAAAAAGACUAGACCUAGGACCUAAAAAGCUGAAAGCGCAACAGACAUAGGACCCCACCCCCGCCGGUCGUCUUCUUCACAGAACCUCCAGCGGAAAGCUUCAGCCAUUGUCAACGACCUUCCUCUCCAUCGCCUUCUUCUUUUUCUUCAACUCGUCGGUGACGACCUCCUCCGUUUCCAGCCAGCGCCAGCUGCUGUCGAACACUAUAAAUGACGGCGCAACUCCUGAACACCAAAAUCGUCCACCACAGCCCUUUCUCGAAUCCUAGACCCUAGGAAACAAAACCAGCGACAGACUUGAGCAACGAAGCCACCCCUAUUUUCCAACGUCUUCAACAGUCCCACUCCCAAGAGUCAUACACAGACAAACCAGCCGAGAAGCCAACUCCAUCGAAGAUCGGGCAAAGCUUUUAGGUCGAAGUUCAGUGUUCCAGCGGAAGUUCCGGUUACUCGAAAGAUCCUGUUUUUUCUUGAACUUCGUCAAUUGAGGUUCUUUUCUUUGUUUUCACUUUCUUCCAUGCCAAUAUUAUGCUCUUGUCAAUAUUUAAAUGAAUGGUUUUGGUUUUCUUACUUAUUGAUUUAUUUUAACAUGAUGAUGUUUUAAUUUGCUCAAAUGGUAAUUAACUUGUCAUAUUAUGUUUUGUUGGGGGUUGUGCCUUUAAGAUGCUACUGCUGCCUUGUUUAUGUUUUGUAUAUAUAAAAGCCUCAAUUUAAGCUUGCAUGUGAUGUAUCUUGAGAUUUCAGUUCAUCAAACGAGGUGAGGCUCAUGAAGCUUGUUAGUGUUGCCCAUUUAUGUUUUUUUGGCUGUAUGCUUCCAAACGUAAAUAGCAUUUUGGUAUCUCGUUUAUGGUCUAGUCGAUUUUUAUCAAGUAUUUUUGGAAUGUGUAAAUAAUACUUGUUAUCUUUCGAAAAUGGUGGCAACUAACAAUGUUGGUUUUCAAAUGAUGAAAAGUCAUAUAUCUUGUAGAGCCCAUUCUUAGACUUUCUGAGGUUUGAAACCCGUUUUCAGUUAUAAAUCAUUGUUAAGCGGGGUAAGCCUAUCAACUACCUCUAAAUUUAGCCAUAAUCUCUAGCAUAUAAUCAAAUUUAGACUUAAUCUAUCAUCGUGAUUGCGUACACGUUCGCGUGACAUAAUUACGAUUCUUUUAAAGAACAAAAUCAGAGUAUGCAUUCGCGCAACUUUAACUAAACUUUCUUAAUAAUAACAAAGCGUUAUUAAUUGUGGAUACGUUCUCAUGACAUGAUUUUUUACGCCCCAAACAAACGGGUACACGUACACGUGACUUGUUUAAAGAUAAUUCCUUAAUUAAAAAGGCAAAUGCACAUAGGUUCAAACUCAGUAAUUAAAUAAUUUUAAUAGUCCAAGUAUGAUCAAAGCGACCGUGCUAGAAUCACAGAACUCGGGAAUACCUAACACCUUCUCCCGGGUUAGCAGAAUUCCUUACUCGAAUUUCUGUGUUCGCAGACCGUAAAUAGAGUCAAACUUCCUCGAAUCGGGAUAUUAAACCGGUGACUUGGGACACCAUAAAUUAUCCCAAGUGGCGACUCUGAAUUUUAAAUAAAUAAUCUUGUUUCGAUUGUCACUUAAAUUGGAAAAAAAACUCUCUUAUACCUUUCCCAGGGGUAGAAAAAGGAGGUGUGACAGCUCCGGCGACUCUGCUGGGGACAAGAACCCAGAAUCUCUGGUUCAGGAUUCAAGAAUUUGAGCUUGUUAAAACAAUUUUUACUUGGCUUCAUUUAUUGUUAAUAUUACUGUAUUCUGUGAACCUUUUGUGCUAAAGGCUAUCUCUUUACCGCUUUAGUAUUGUUUGAAUUGUAUAUAACUAUCUUCUUAUGCCAACCCUCUGAGUCUUCUGAAAAUGGUUCACACGUUCGCGUGGCCUGCUUUUUCUGUAGAAGUUAUACCAAAUAAGAACGGGGCUGGGCCAGCAACAAGGCCAGGUAGACUUUAGUGCUCCCGGUAUGUUGCCCCCUCUUAGGCUCGAGUUGUCCGCUCGGGUAAGCCAGGUCAAGAACACAACCCUAGGUUUAAACUUAGAAUAACAUAACCUCAUACCGGAUCCCUAGUAGGAACGUAUGUUUGCAUCAUGUGCAUUUGACUUUGGGGACUCAAUAUAGGAGUUGGGUCCGUCUAGGACAGGUGUACCCAAAAUAACAAACCAUCUUGAUGCAUCAUAUGUGCUACAUGUUGCAUUUCUUCCAGCGUAAAAGGGUAAUUUGGCGGACCAAUGAUAGUUGAGGGCAAAUAAAAAAAGAAAAAAGAGAGUGAAGUGUGAAAAUAAAGCAAGUAGGACCCAGUUAUGUUUUUUUCACAUUUUUUAAGAAAAGAAAAAAAACUAAAUAUAUAUAUAUAUAUAUAUAUAUAUAUAUAUNNNNNNNNNNNNNNNNNNNNNNNNNUAGCCAUCUUUUGGCCGCAUAAGCCAUUUUGCAAAAAUAGCCUCAAUCAUGUCUUGCAUGUUGUCCAAUAGGAAGUGUUAUAGUCUCACAUAGUGUUCUAGGUCUUUAACUUUAUUUGGUCUUAAUUUUCUCAUACAGGUGUGAGUUUACUUACUGGAGUUUGAGCAUGACAGACGCUCUAGGACCAUCCAGUCCGGAUCACUCAUUCAGGAGUUUGCUUGAGGAGAUUUUUUUUAUGUUUUUAGUCUGUUGUUCUUUUUUAUGUCAUCUUUUAUCUUCUAGUUUUGUACAGUAAUGUCGAGUCUUUUAGGUGAUGUUAGAGUUUGUCAUAGUCUAGUUAAGUUUGCCGAGUCUUUUCUUAUUGUAUUUCUUGAUUUGUAUUUGGAAAUGUGUUACAAAUGAGAAAUACAAAAAACAUUUAGA
rnacentral:lncRNA from 1 species